rnacentral:rRNA from 2 species
GGGCGAUAGUGAACCAGUACCGUGAGGGAAAGGUGAAAAGUACUUCGAAUGAAGGUGAAAUAGAUCCUGAAACCAUACGCUUACAAUCUGUCGGAGCCUUAUUAGUAAGGUGACGACGUGCCUUUUGCAUAAUGAACCUACGAGUUAAUUUUUCCGGCAAGGUUAAGUAGUUCAGCUAUGGAGCCGUAGCGAAAGCGAGUCUGAAUAGGGCAUAUAGUCGGAAGAAUUAGACGCGAAACCGAGUGAUCUACCCAUGAGCAGGUUGAAGCUGUGGUAACACAUAGUGGAGGACCGAACCGGUGGACGUUGAAAAGUCCUCGGAUGACUUGUGGGUAGGGGUGAAAGGCCAAUCAAACUCGGAGAUAGCUCGUACUCCCCGAAAUGCAUUUAGGUGCAGCAUCGUGUUAAAUAAAACAGAGGUAGAGCUACUGAUUGGAUGAAGGGGUUUCAUCGCCUACUAAUUCCUGAUAAACUCCGAAUGCUGUUAUUAUGUUUCACGGUAGUGAGGGCAUGGGUGCUAAGGUCCAUGUCCAAGAGGGAAACAACCCAGACCAUCAGUUAAGGGCCCUAAGUUUAGAUUAAGUUGUUAAACAAAGUUUAAUCACAGAGACAGCUAGGAUGUUGGCUUAGAAGCAGCGGGUAAGUUCCGACCUGCACGAAUGGUGUAACGAUCUGGAAACUGUCUCAGCCGUGAGCUCGGUGAAAUUGUAAUAUCGGUGAAGAUGCCGAUUACUCGCAAUGGGACGAAAAGACCCUGUGAACCUUUACUAUAGCUUCGUAUUGGUUUUGAUUAAAAAAUGUGUAGGAUAGGUGGGAGACUUUGAAGUAUUGUCGCAAGACAAUAUGGAGUCAACCUUGAAAUACCACCCUUUUUUUAAUUGAAAUCUAACUCAAUUAAUUAUUGAGAACAUUGCGUGGUGGGUAGUUUGACUGGGGUGGUCGCCUCCAAAAAGGUAACGGAGGCUUCCAAAGGUACCCUCAACACGUUUGGUAAUCGUGUGUAGAGUAUAAUGGCAUAAGGGUGCUUGACUGUGAGACCAACAAGUCGAUCAGGUACGAAAGUAGGGCAUAGUGAUCCGGUGGUUCCGUAUGGAAGGGCCAUCGCUCAAAGGAUAAAAGGUACUCCGGGGAUAACAGGCUAGUCUCCCCCAAGAGCUCAUAUCGACGGGGAGGUUUGGCACCUCGAUUUCGGCUC